rnacentral:rRNA from 1 species
UCGAGCGAGAAAGUUCCCUUCGGGGAGCGAGUAAAGCGGCGAACGGGUGAGUAACACGUAGGUAACCUACCCUCGAGUCCGGGAUAACCUGUCGAAAGACGGGCUAAUACUGGAUACGACUGCGGGAGCGUCAGCCCCCGCGGUGAAAGGUGGCCUCUGCUUGCAAGCUAUCACUCAUGGAUGGGCCUGCGGACCAUUAGCUAGUUGGUGAGGUAACGGCUCACCAAGGCGAAGAUGGUUAGCUGGUCUGAGAGGACGGCCAGCCACACUGGGACUGAAACACGGCCCAGACUCCUACGGGAGGCAGCAGUGAGGAACAUUGCGCAAUGGGCGAAAGCCUGACGCAGCGACGCCGCGUGGGUGAUGAAGGCCUUCGGGUCGUAAAGCCCUGUCGGGGGAGAAGAAAUCGUGCCGACCUAACACGUCGGUGCCUUGACGGUACCCCCUAAGGAAGCACCGGCUAACUCCGUGCCAGCAGCCGCGGUAAUACGGAGGGUGCGAGCGUUGUUCGGAAUCACUGGGCGUAAAGCGCGUGCAGGCGGUCGGAUAAGUUCGAUGUG